CCUUCAGUUCACCCACCUCCAGUACAAGUCUCACCAUAAGUUACUUAACGUCUCAAAGCAUAAAGUUGCGCAUUUGUAGACCCAUUUCCCGAUUAUCCGUCUCCCUGGUCCUGCUUCCCCGGAUGCGAUCACAACACUCAUUGAGUCAUCGUGUGACUGAUGGAUGGAAUCAAUACAAAUCACAAAGCUUGGUAUUCAUCAGUGGUUCUCCGUGGUCUCCCUAAGACACUCGGCCAGGUAGGCAAAUUUACAAGCACCAGCGUAGGAACCAUCAUACCUGCCUAGAAAAUUCGAAAAUGGUGAAUAACCAGUAAAACCAAGUGACUCCAGAUCAAGACCAAGUCCACAAGCAUGCAGAGUUUUCCAUAAAAGGGAGAAAUGACACGACCUUCUGAUACCUCAUCCCCCUGUCCGACACCUCAAAAGAGAGGGUCUAUUAGUCAACAUGUUCCCCUGUUCAUCACAGGAUGUAUUUGUCUUGUAUUUUCUCUUUUUUCUAGCGAGAAAUGCCUUGUCUGUCAUAUUAUGUAACACAGUUUUUGUAAUAGAUAUGAAACAUCUCCAGAAAGCUGAAACAGACGGUUUUUGGGAGAUUCUAGUUUAAUACAUUUAUGAAGCUUUAUAAAAGAAAUGAACAUUGUGGACGGAUGGUACACGGGUUUAUAUAUGUGCUCCCCCCCCACAGUAGUGUUGUUAUUCUUUUAAAGGGAAAAAGUGUGAAAUGAGAAAAAGGGACCUAUAAAAAUUUUGCG